GCGGUGUGUACAAAGGGCAGGGACGUAAUCAACGCGAUCUGAUGAAUCACGCUUACUAGGUAUUCCUCGUUGAAGAACAAUAAUUGCAAUGUUCUAUCCCCAUCACGACAGAAUUUCACAAGAUUACCCAUGCCUUCCGGCAAAGGUGGUAGACUCGCUGGCUCUGUCAGUGUAGCGCGCGUGCGGCCCAGAACAUCUAAGGGCAUCACAGA
rnacentral:misc_RNA from 1 species